rnacentral:piRNA from 1 species
UGCCAUUGUCGCUAUAAUUGAAGCCUUAUA